rnacentral:rRNA from 1 species
AUGAGUGUCACAGGCGGCCAAGCAAAUAUGCUACUUAUCAACACACGCAUGCACGCACAGUACAUGUUAUCUAUCAAAGUAACAACAAAUCAGAGACAAAUGCCUCAUGUUGUCCCCACGGUUCAAUGGAAUGGAUUGUAUCUAAUCAGGACAUCCAAUCAGUGGUGUCAUCAUCACAAUGAACCCACGAACAUGUACAACAAGGGAGCAGGUACCUUUCUCUGCUUGGAGCUCCUUGUGCGGGUCAUUGGAGCUCCUUGUGCGGGUCAUGUCGUGGAUGCCCUCCAUGGAAGGAACGAACUGCUGCUGCUGCUCCAGACCGAAUCAAAUCAAUGUGGUGCAAUGUAG